rnacentral:rRNA from 1 species
CCUACGGGAGGCAGCAGUGAUGAAUAUUGGUCAAUGGACGAGAGUCUGAACCAGCCAAGUAGCGUGAAGGAUGACUGCCCUAUGGGUUGUAAACUUCUUGUAUAUGGGAAUAAAACAGGGUAUGCAUACCCUCUUGUAUGUACCAUAUGAAUAAGGAUCGGCUAACUCCGUGACAGCAGCCGCGGUAAUACGGAGGAUCCGAGCGUUAUCCGGAUUUAGUGGGUUUAAAGGGAGCGUAGGUGGAUUGUUAAGUCAGUUGUGAAAGUUUGCGGCUCAACCGUAAAAUUGCAGUUGAAACUGGCAGUCUUGAGUACAGUAGAGGUGGGCGGAAUUCGUGGUGUAGCGGUGAAAUGCUUAGAUAUCACGAAGAACUCCGAUUGCGAAGGCAGCUCACUGGACUGCAACUGACACUGAUGCUCGAAAGUGUGGGUAUCAAACAGGAUUAGAUACCCUUGUAGUC